UUGGAGGGCAAGUCUGGUGCCAGCAGCCGCGGUAAUUCCAGCUCCAAUAGCGUAUAUUAAAGUUGUUGCAGUUAAAAAGCUCGUAGUUGAAUUUCGGGGUCUGUCCAUUGGUCGGGCUUCACGGUCCGUACUGGUGAGAUGGGUUCCUACCUUCUGAAUAACCRGCAUGCCAUUCAGUUGGUGCGCUGGGGAAGCAGAGCUAUUACCUUGAAAAAAUUAGAGUGCUUAAAGCAGGCUAGUGCUUGAAUAGAUUAGCAUGGAAUAAUAAAAUAGGACGGCAUGGUUCUAUUUUGUUGGUUUCUAGGAUCACCGUAAUGAUUAAUAGGGAUAGUUGGGGGCAUUAGUAUUCAAUUGUCAGAGGUGAAAUUCUUGGAUUUAUUGAAGACUAACUUCUGCGAAAGCAUUUGCCAAGGAUGUUUUCAUUAAUCAAGAACGAAAGUUAGGGGAUCGAAGACGAUCAGAUACCGUCGUAGUCUUAACCAUAAACUAUGCCGACUAGGGAUCGGACGAUGUUAAUUUUUAAUGACUCGUUCGGCGCCUUACGGGAAACCAAAGUG
rnacentral:rRNA from 1 species